UGACACAGAGGCACCAACAGGGCGUGACGGGCAGGUGCUUCACAUCACCGCUAAUUAGAGCCCUUCUUAAGGAGCAGAAACCAAGAGGAGGGCGUCAGUUCUUUAGAGCUUCCAGCGUGAAUUCUGGACCCAAGCCUAAGAACCUCCAAGCCAGACUCAGGUUCAAAGAAGUCCUCUGGCCGUCAAUUUGUUUUUUCAGCCCUCCUGCCUGAGCUCACCUGCCUGUCCACCCUCCAACGCCAUCCUAACUGGAGAGAAUCCGCCGGACUUGCACCUACCUCCUGGACCCCCAGACACAACCCCUCAGGAUAAAAUCAAGCCUCGACCUCAGUGAUUCAAACGCCUUUUCACAAUUCUCAUCGGCACCAUUCCUUUGUUCAAUUCAAUUCAAUUUAUUAUUCACCAGUGUCCUUGUCUUCCCCGAGCAGGACUAGGACGUUUCAAUCUGCCAGCACUUCCUCUGAUUACACAGCACUGUUGACAAUAAACUUUCUUACCGAACUGUCUGUCUCCAUGGUUGCCCUGAUUCAGAUUCGUACUUCUCAAAACGUGACA